UAUAUUUCAUUGUUUUUUAUUAAAUUAUAAUUCUAUUCUAAAAAUUUUAAAAUAUUUUUUAUAUUAUUAAAUUUAAUCAAAUAUAAUUAUAUCCACGUAUCGCGCGAGUUCCUACCCUAAUNUUCUAUUCUAAAAAUUUUAAAAUAUUUUUUAUAUUAUUAAAUUUAAUCAAAUAUAAUUAUAUCCACGUAUCGCGCGAGUUCCUACCCUAAUAAUACAUUAUAAUGUGCAAAAGUAUUAAA
rnacentral:lncRNA from 1 species